CAGUAGCCGCGGGAAUACGUAGGUGGCAAGCGUUGUCCGGAAUUAUUGGGCGUAAAGGGCUCGCAGGCGGUUUCUUAAGUCUGAUGUGAAAGCCCCCGGCUCAACCGGGGAGGGUCAUUGGAAACUGGGAAACUUGAGUGCAGAAGAGGAGAGUGGAAUUCCACGUGUAGCGGUGAAAUGCGUAGAGAUGUGGAGGAACACCAGUGGCGAAGGCGACUCUCCGGUCUGUAACUGACGCUGAGGAGCGAAAGCGUGGGGAGCGAACAGGAUUAGAUACCCCAGUAGUCCCUGUCUCUUAUAC
rnacentral:rRNA from 1 species